rnacentral:rRNA from 1 species
AUUGAACGCUGGCGGCAUGCUUUACACAUGCAAGUCGAACGGCAGCACAGAGAAGCUUGCUUCUUGGGUGGCGAGUGGCGAACGGGUGAGUAACAUAUCGGAACGUACCGAGUAAUGGGGGAUAACUAAUCGAAAGAUUAGCUAAUACCGCAUAUUCUCUGAGGAGGAAAGCAGGGGACCUUCGGGCCUUGCGUUAUUCGAGCGGCCGAUAUCUGAUUAGCUAGUUGGUGGGGUAAAGGCCUACCAAGGCGACGAUCAGUAGCGGGUCUGAGAGGAUGAUCCGCCACACUGGGACUGAGACACGGCCCAGACUCCUACGGGAGGCAGCAGUGGGGAAUUUUGGACAAUGGGCGCAAGCCUGAUCCAGCCAUGCCGCGUGUCUGAAGAAGGCCUUCGGGUUGUAAAGGACUUUUGUCAGGGAAGAAAAGGCUGUUGCUAAUAUCGACAGCUGGUGACGGUACCUGAAGAAUAAGCACCGGCUAACUACGUGCCAGCAGCCGCGGUAAUACGUAGGGUGCGAGCGUUAAUCGGAAUUACUGGGCGUAAAGCGAGCGCAGACGGUUACUUAAGCAGGAUGUGAAAUCCCCGGGCUCAACCUGGGAACUGCGUUCUGAACUGGGUGACCAGAGUGUGUCAGAGGGAGGUAGAAUUCCACGUGUAGCAGUGAAAUGCGUAGAGAUGUGGAGGAAUACCGAUGGCGAAGGCAGCCUCCUGGGAUAACACUGACGUUCAUGCUCGAAAGCGUGGGUAGCAAACAGGAUUAGAUACCCUGGUAGUCCACGCCCUAAACGAUGUCAAUUAGCUGUUGGGCAACUUGAUUGCUUAGUAGCGUAGCUAACGCGUGAAAUUGACCGCCUGGGGAGUACGGUCGCAAGAUUAAAACUCAAAGGAAUUGACGGGGACCCGCACAAGCGGUGGAUGAUGUGGAUUAAUUCGAUGCAACGCGAAGAACCUUACCUGGUCUUGACAUGUACGGAAUCCUCCAGAGACGGAGGAGUGCCUUCGGGAGCCGUAACACAGGUGCUGCAUGGCUGUCGUCAGCUCGUGUCGUGAGAUGUUGGGUUAAGUCCCGCAACGAGCGCAACCCUUGUCAUUAGUUGCCAUCAUUUAGUUGGGCACUCUAAUGAGACUGCCGGUGACAAGCCGGAGGAAGGUGGGGAUGACGUCAAGUCCUCAUGGCCCUUAUGACCAGGGCUUCACACGUCAUACAAUGGUCGGUACAGAGGGUAGCCAAGCCGCGAGGUGGAGCCAAUCUCACAAAACCGAUCGUAGUCCGGAUUGCACUCUGCAGCUCGAGUGCAUGAAGUCGGAAUCGCUAGUAAUCGCAGGUCAGCAUACUGCGGUGAAUACGUUCCCGGGUCU